AGCAGCCGCGGUAAUUCCAGCUCCAAUAGCGUAUAUUAAAGUUGUUGCAGUUAAAAGCUCGUAGUUGAAUUUCGGGAUCAAUAUGUUGGUCGUGCCUUGGUACGUACUGGCAUUAUCGAUUCCUACCUUCUGAAGAACCUCGAUGUCAUUAAUUUGGUGUCUUGGGGAAUCAGGACUGUUACUUUGAAAAAUUAGAGUGUUUAAAGCAGGCUCGCGCUUGAAUACAUUAGCAUGGAAUAAUGAAAUAGGACGUUUGAUUCUAUUUUGUUGGUUUCUAGGAUCGACGUAAUGAUUAAUAGGGAUAGUUGGGGGCAUUAGUAUUCAAUUGUCAGAGGUGAAAUUCUUGGAUUCAUUGAAGACUAACUACUGCGAAAGCAUUUGCCAAGGAUGUUUUCAUUAAUCAAGAACGAAAGUUAGGGGAUCGAAGACGAUCAGAUACCGUCGUAGUCUUAACCAUAAACUAUGCCGACUAGGGAUCGGAUGAUGUAAUUUUUAAUGA
rnacentral:rRNA from 1 species